rnacentral:tmRNA from 1 species
ACUAUGGACCCGUGGGUGGAACACGGCAUCUCCAGGCCCUGCUAUUUUAUGGGGGGUGUUAAUAAAUUCGACAUAGU